CAAAUCAUAUAGGUCCCAGGUGACGUGCGACUGUAUCAAGAAUCGUCGGCGUAGAAUAGGGAAGCUGGUGAAAAUCCAGCGCGAGCCCGUCACUGUAAUCGGGGAGUAAGCCAUAGAUGCCACUGGCAAGAGCGGGGUUAAAUCCGCAAAGGCCGGGAAGGUGUGGCAAGCGAAGAUCCGGAAGCCAGGAGACCUGCCUGGGACAUGCAAGGGAG
rnacentral:ncRNA from 2 species